rnacentral:rRNA from 1 species
GACGAACGCUGGCGGCGUGCUUAACACAUGCAAGUCGAACGAUGAACCCGGAGCUUGCUCCGGUGGAUUAGUGGCGAACGGGUGAGUAACACGUGAGUAACCUGCCCUUGACUCUGGGAUAACUGCGGGAAACUGUAGCUAAUACCGGAUAUGACCCUCGGCGGCAUCGCCAGGGGGUGGAAAGAAUUUCGGUCAAGGAUGGACUCGCGGCCUAUCAGCUAGUUGGUGAGGUAACGGCUCACCAAGGCGACGACGGGUAGCCGGCCUGAGAGGGUGACCGGCCACACUGGGACUGAGACACGGCCCAGACUCCUACGGGAGGCAGCAGUGGGGAAUAUUGCACAAUGGGCGCAAGCCUGAUGCAGCGACGCCGCGUGAGGGAUGACGGCCUUCGGGUUGUAAACCUCUUUCAGCACCGACGAAGCGCAAGUGACGGUAGGUGCAGAAGAGGGACCGGCCAACUACGUGCCAGCCGCCGCGGUAA